rnacentral:rRNA from 1 species
AUACGAAGGGGGCUAGCGUUGUUCGGAAUCACUGGGCGUAAAGCGAACGUAGGUGGAUCAAUCAGUUGAGGGUGAAAUCCCGGGGCUCAACCUCGGAACUGCCUUCAAUACUGUUGGUCUUGAGUCCGAGAGAGGUGAGUGGAAUUCCUAGUGUAGAGGUGAAAUUCGUAGAUAUUAGGAAGAACACCAGUGGCGAAGGCGGCUCACUGGCUCGGUACUGACGCUGAGGUGCGAAAGCGUGGGGAGCAAACAGGAUUAGAUACCCUAGUAGUCC